UUUUAAACAUCGCGACGAAAACAUGCUAACCAUCUACAAAUUGCCGAAAAGCUGACGGUCGUUGCUGUAUAAUGAGAAUGCAACAUAAAACUGACGGGCGGCUGCUGACCGUCAUUUUACCUAUACUCGAACUUCCUUUUCGAAUAUAUAAUGGCACAACCUUCAUAGGGAUGCUUUUACAGAUUCCUCAGAAUGAUUUGUCGUCCUAUUUAAAGAAGAAUUACGGACCUAGAAUAAGUAACUUUUACGUUUUAUUACAGUUCAUUAUUUUUCAACCUUUAUUUGGUAUAUUUUUCUAUUGGAACUGUAAGAAUUUGGACAAAAUUAAUUAGAUCUGUCGUUUAUUUUGUUUUUAUGACAUACUACUUUAUAUCUGCAAUUAUUUAAAUAUAAAUAUCGGUAUGUAGGUACAGAAAUAGUAAACAGAUAAAUUUAUAUAUAUUAAUGGCAUUUAAUAUUUGCUCAUGCAAAUCCUUAUUUAUCUCCGGUAGACAUAUUAUGAAGGGUGCUCUGUUUAUUUGUAAAUUGGUGGUAUCAGUCUGUCAAUCCAGCGCGUAAUUUUUAUCGUAAUAUCUUUAAUCUUAUGAUGAAUUAAUAUUUUUGUGUGUAUCAGUUAGCGUCAAGUUUGAAUACUCAUGAUUCAUGAUAUCAUUUAGGUUAUUGAUUGUAUAAGAUUUUUCAUUACUUCAGAACAUUUAAAUGCAUGUUUAGAUGCAUUUAGUUUGUCCUGGAUGAAACUAGUAUAUACUGAAACUGAUUGUGACAGAUACAACACAACCUAUAUACUUACUGUGGGUACAAUGCGGAAAGUUUUAUUAAAAUUGGAUUUUACUUUAUGUAUAUAUAUUUAUCUUAAUUUUAAUACGUGGAAAAAAUUAAAAGUUUAUUAAUAACAGUUGUAAGUUUUGUAAACAUAAUUUGUUGAUGUUCAUGGCAGACAGUUGAACUGUUUGUCCUGGCAGUGGUCAAAAGUACAGAUUCAAUUCGGAACAAAAUAUCGUCUAUCAUGCUCUGAUAAGAGGACAUGUUCGUAAUUUUUUUUUCUUCGUAUCAGUAUAUCGUCUUUUGUUGGCCGAUACAGAUGUGUUAUUCAUGGCUUUGAAAUUACUUUAGUUUAGUUAAAUCAAUUAUUUAUUGCGCGUUGAAUUAAGUGAUAGUAAUUAGUAAAAUGACAGCAUAUAACAAGGGAAGGUAUUUUGGUAUUGGU